GCAGGGUUCAGAUAUGCAAAGAUGAAUCAUAAUGCAGUGAAAGUGCCUGCAUCAUAUUUGACAGUGCUCCAAAAACUGAUUAACCAUAAGGGAUGCAUUAUUGCAGACAGAUUUGUGAAAGUAGCUAUGAUUGGACGAGCUAGGUCGUUGGUAUGGAGUCUUUAUCCACUGAAACCAAGAACCCGAGGAAUGUGUCACAGCAGGGCUUUCUUGGCCGGCAGUGGGGCUUGAAGGGGGUGUCGAGAACUCAUCCACGGGUGGUAGUUCUUCAAACUUCGUGAAAGUAACCAAUACUCUGAUUGUUGGAACAACAGGGAUAGCAACCUACAUACAACCAUGAGAACUCAUUCAAGUCAAAAUCUUUAAAAGAGAAUUAUGCAUGGCAUAUGAAAUUAAAAGCAGUAGCAACCAGUUUAUUUAACCACCAUCCUUUUUUUUCUUUUAAUUUUUGCAGAAAGCCCCAAACCUGAGGAAUGAGUACAGUAAACUGGCACGAUCAAUAUUUAAGAAUGAAACUAUAGCUCCAUUUCACCAGGCAAGUCUAUGCAUCCAUAGAUGGAAGGGACGGAAUGGAUCAUAUACCAGGCAUAAAGAUACCAAAAUCCUAGUCUUAAACCCUAAAGAAGUCAAGAAAAAGUCCAAUGCGCUCUAAUGUAAUAGAUCACAAAAAAUUCGGGUAACAAACCAACCUCAAAAUAAAUGCCAAAAAUCAUCAACAGGUGUGUAGCUAAUGACUAAGAUUCGAAAAACCCACAAAUCUGUCUAGAGGGUACGCCUUCUCAGAAAAACAUAUUAUGUUUUGGGCACAAGUACAGAAGUCAUUAUUGAGAGUUCAUAUGAUAAAACAGGAUAAUAACAGGGCCUAAUCAGUCGGUAAAAGAACAACAAACCUUUACUGGGAAGGUUCCUGCAGGAAGCUUUGUCGUGAGCAGUUCUCUCAACCGCCGAAUUGCUUUGACCUUGU